AGGACAGAGAGAAUCAGGCAGAUGGCAGCAUGAAGAGGACUCAGCUUGUUGUUGCUGGCUUUGAAGAGGGACAAAGACAGUCAUGAGCCAAAGAGUCAAGUUGGGUGUUAGAGUUCCAGGACAGUAACAGAAACGAUAUUUGUUCAGGCCUGAAUCAGCCAAAACUGUGAAUAACACAGCUCCUGAACCAGCUGGAUAUCUGAGCUUUUCUUAGACACUUGGGGUUUUUUGUGAUGUUGGAACUCCGAGAUCAUACAAGCUCAACUCAUUGAAUUUGGACAGCAAAUUUGGACUUACUCAAGGUGCAAGCAGUAUUAAGAUCUUGAUGACACCUCUUCCACAAGUCUCUACCAAAAA